rnacentral:tRNA from 1 species
GUUAAAAUAAUUUAUUUAUAAAAUAUUGGUUUUGUAAACCAAAUUUGGGUUCUCCUUUUAACA